UGGGGAAUAUUGCACAAUGGGCGCAAGCCUGAUGCAGCCAUGCCGCGUGUAUGAAGAAGGCCUUCGGGUUGUAAAGUACUUUCAGCGGGGAGGAAGGUGUUGAGGUUAAUAACCUCAGCAAUUGACGUUACCCGCAGAAGAAGCACCGGCUAACUCCGUGCCAGCAGCCGCGGUAAUACGGAGGGUGCAAGCGGUAAUCGGAAUUACUGGGCGUAAAGCGCACGCAGGGGGUCUGUCAAGUCGGAUGUGAAAUCCCCGGGCUCAACCUGGGAACUGCAUUCGAAACUGGCAGGCUAGAGUCUUGUAGAGGGGGGUAGAAUUCCAGGUGUAGCGGUGAAAUGCGUAGAGAUCUGGAGGAAUACCGGUGGCGAAGGCGGCCCCCUGGACAAAGACUGACGCUCAGGUGCGAAAGCGUGGGGAGCAAACA
rnacentral:rRNA from 1 species